ACUGGGUGUGGUGGUGAACACCUGUAAUCCCAGCUACCUGGGAGCCUGAGGCAGGAUGUUACAUGUUCAAGGUGAACCUCAACAAUUUAGGAAGACCCUGUCUCAA
rnacentral:sRNA from 1 species